rnacentral:rRNA from 1 species
UACAGAGGGGGCAAGCGUUGUUCGGAAUUACUGGGCGUAAAGGGCGCGUAGGCGGCCUUCUAAGUCGAACGUGAAAUCCCCGGGCUCAACCCGGGAACUGCGUCCGAUACUGGAAGGCUUGAAUCCGGGAGAGGGAUGUGGAAUUCCAGGUGUAGCGGUGAAAUGCGUAGAUAUCUGGAGGAACACCGGUGGCGAAGGCGACAUCCUGGACCGGUAUUGACGCUGGGGCGCGAAAGCCAGGGGAGCAAACGGG